UUGUAGAAUUUAUAAUCAGCCUAAUUUUACAACUCUCGUGAGAAAAUUAUGUAGUUCAAUACUUUAUAUUUUAUUUUUGUAAAAUUUCGCAUCUCAAUGAAUGUGUUUUGUAAAGAACAAAUUCUCCAAGUCUUCCAAAGGUUUUAUCGUUUGGUUUCUAAUGAAAUAUCCUAAAUUAUCCUUGGUUGUAGGGUUAAUUAUUAGUUUCGUAGUAAUCUCGACGUGGUUAUCGAGAGGUUUGUGUUUGCAUCAUUCCCAUGUCAUAUACCCAUUAUUCCAUGCUGAAAGUCCUGUCACAGAUAUCAGUGAUGGCUCAGUUAACACACUGCAUCUGUUAUUGCAACAAAACAGUAUCUCAUUGGUCAUGUUUUAUGCUCAAUGGUGUUCAAAGUCCGCUAAGUUGGUCUAUCAUUUCCACAGAGCAUCCAAAAAGUUUCGAGGGCAGGUCUCCUUCCUUGCAAUAAACUGUUGGACUGGUUCAUGCAGACAGCAUAAUUUUCCAAAAUCCUAUCCAUUAAUAUACCUUUAUCAUAUGAAAUAUGAACCUUUAGAAUAUCAGGGAAGACAAAAAUUUACAGA